GUCUGUUUGUAGAUAUAAAGAGUUUAACCUGCCCACUGAGAAAAAUUUAAGGGCCGCGGUAUUCUGACCGUGCAAAGGUAGCAUAAUCGUUAGUUUUUUAAUUGGAAUCUUGUAUGAAUGGUUGGACAAAGGAAAAUCUGUCUCUAUGACUAUAAAGUGAAUUUAACUUUUAAGUGAAAAGGCUUAAAUGAAUUAAGGGGACGAUAAGACCCUAUAAAGCUUAAUAUGGAAAUACUAUUUGGUUAAAUUAUUAUGUUAUAAAGAUUUAGUAGUUUAUAAAUAUUGUGUUGGGGCGACAAGGGUAAAAUGAUUACUAACUGCUUAUUAUUUAAACAGGGAUAGAUGGUUUAAAGUUAUAAAGGAUCCUAGUUAUAGAUUAAAAGGUUAAGUUACUUUAGGGAUAACAGCGUUAUUUUUUUUGAGAGUUCUUAUCGAGAAAAAAGUUUGCGACCUCGAUGUUGAAUUAAAAUAUCUGUACAAUUGCAGUAGUUGUAUGAGAAGGUCUGUUCGACCUUUAAAUUUUUACAUGAUUUGAGUUCAGACCGGCGUGAG
rnacentral:rRNA from 1 species